UACGGAGGGUGCGAGCGUUGUCCGGAAUCACUGGGCGUAAAGGGCGCGUAGGCGGCUUGGUAAGUAGGGGGUGAAAUCCUGCGGCUUAACCGCAGGGCUGCCUUCUAAACUGCCAGGCUUGAGCACAGUAGAGGCAGGUGGAAUUCCGGGUGUAGCGGUGGAAUGCGUAGAGAUCCGGAAGAACACCGGUGGCGAAGGCGGUGCUCUGGGGCCAGUACUGACGCUGGAGGGAGCGAAAAGCGUGGGGAGCAAACAGG
rnacentral:rRNA from 1 species